GUGGUGAUUUUUUUUUUUGACAUGAAAAUUAUAUGGGGAUUAUGCUGUUUGUUUUCAAAAUAUCAAACUUAGGAUUGAGAAUUCAUUUAUAGAUAUGUAGUUGUUUUUGAGUGUUGCCCAGAUAGACAACUCUAGAUGAGGGAUGAAUUGAAUUUUUUGAAAAUUAAAUCAAUUAUAUGCUAAAUUUAGAUUGUACAAAGUGAAGAUGCAGUGGAAGCAGUGAAUUAUGACUAAUAUAUAGGGAUGCAAAUGAAAGCAAUAGGAAAGUA
rnacentral:lncRNA from 1 species